rnacentral:rRNA from 1 species
ACUCCUACGGGUGGCUGCAGUGGGGAAUAUUGGACAAUGGGGGCAACCCUGAUCCAGCAAUGCCGCGUGUGUGAAGAAGGCCUUAGGGUUGUAAAGCACUUUCGUUAGUGAAGAAAGGUUUAUGGUUAAUACCUGUGAAUUUGACAUUAGCUAAAGAAGAAGCACCGGCUAACUCCGUGCCAGCAGCCGCGGUAAUACGGAGGGUGCAAGCGUUAUUCGGAAUGACUGGGCGUAAAGCGCACGCAGGCGGUUAUUUAAGUCAGAUGUGAAAGCCCCGGGCUUAACCUGGGAAUUGCAUUUGAAACUGGGUAACUAGAGUAUGUCAGAGGAAGGCGGAAUUUCCAGUGUAGCAGUGAAAUGCGUAGAGAUUGGAAGGAACACCGAUGGCGAAGGCAGCCUUCUGGGGCAAUACUGACGCUCAUGUGCGAAAGCGUGGGUAGCAAACAGGAUCAGAUACCCUGGUAGUCCACGCCCUAAACGAUGUCAACUAGGUGUUGGGCACUUAAGUGCUCGGUACCGCAGCUAACGCAUUAAGUUGACCGCCUGGGGAGUACGGCCGCAAGGUUGAAACUCAAAGAAAUUGACGGGGACCCGCACAAGCGGUGGAGCAUGUGGUUUAAUUCGAUGCAACGCGAAGAACCUUACCAGGCCUUGACAUCCAGAGAACUAAGCAGAGAUGCUAUGGUGCCUUCGGGAACUCUGAGACAGGUGCUGCAUGGAUGUCGUCAGCUCGUG